ensembl:lncRNA
CAAAGUGUGCGUGUUGUUUUGGUGAUAUGAGUCAAGAACCGGGACAACUAAGAUCCAAGAGGAAGAGGAAGGUGGAGAUGAAGAGGAGGGAGCAGUGAUGGCAACGACGGUGAUGGCGACCAAAUGGCGUCAGUUAGGCAGUAACUCUCACAUGGAAAUGAUUGAGGUUUCCUCUUGCACAGCUACUGGGUCUGGGCUAAACUCAAGCAGCAUACUCAAGUAAAACAUUGAGCACUAACUGUGGGGACCUGAGAGUGGCGCUAAAGACCUUUACAAGAACGAUCUGCGGAGGGGUCAGUGUAUCAGAUGCAAUUCCUUCUCCAUGUUGACAUGAUUUACUUUUAUUGACUUUAGUUUGACCGCAGUUCCAGUUAAAAUAGGACCUUUAAGAUGCCGGUUGACUCGCUUGUUGACUUGUAUGCUUUUCUUUGACUAGUCAAAGAAAGGCAUAGAAAUAAGAUUCAUGUAUGAGCUUCAGUGAUGAUGUUUUCAUUUUGAGCGGUCCACAGAGCUUUGCACUCCCAUCUAAUAAAAUUCCUCCUCGCACAGCAAACAAAUUUAAAAGUAGGGAUGAUUAAUUGAUGCUAAUUCGAGGAAGAGUUUAAAUUUCAAACUAAAAUGUACCAAAUUGAUGAGGUCAAUCAAAACA